GGCGGACGGGUGAGUAACGCGUGGGUAACCUGCCCUGUACAGGGGGAGUAACAGCUGGAAACGGCUGCUAAUACCGCAUAAGCGCACGAGGAGACAUCUCCUUGUGUGAAAAACUCCGGUGGUACAGGAUGGGCCCGCGUCUGAUUAGCUGGUUGGCAGGGUAACGGCCUACCAAGGCAACGAUCAGUAGCCGGUCUGAGAGGAUGAACGGCCACAUUGGAACUGAGACACGGUCCAAACUCCUACGGGAGGCAGCAUGC
rnacentral:rRNA from 1 species